AAAAUUUAAUGACUAAAUAAUUAAUUUAUCAAAAUUCAAGAAGUAAAAUAUAAUAUAAGCCAAAUUACAGAUACCAAAUUAUCAGUUUUUCGUUUUCGUUUAGUUUUGGACAGGAAUCGCUGGUUUGGGCCAUUUUACAAUUGAAAUUGAUUUUAAUUUGAAGUAGUUCGUAUUCAAGACGGUUUAGUUCAGUUUCGGGCAUAAAUUACAGGUUCAAAUGAUUUUAUGAUUCUAAUUCAAAAUAGUUUGAUAUGAUUUCAGUCCAAUUCUAAUUCAGUCCUUAAUUAUUUAAUCAAAUUAUAAUAAACUUAGACAUUAUUUAUUUAGUUUAUAAAAAAUAUUAAAAAGAUCCAUAUAUAGGCCUAAUAUAUAUAUAUAUUGAAAUAAAUUGAAUCAGUAUUGAUUUGAAAUUGCCGGUUUGAAUCAACAGUUCCAUGCUGAUUCCAGGGAU
rnacentral:misc_RNA from 1 species